rnacentral:tRNA from 1 species
GGGGCCAUAGCUCAGUUGGGAGAGCGCUAGCUUUGCAAGCUUGAGGUCGUCGGUUCGAUCCCGACUGGCUCCACCACCAUUUUCCAGGAAUGAAGCAACCAGUUCCGUGGCAGCGAUGCCGCGGUCGAGGCCUAAGGCCUCAUCUUUGACAUUGUGAAUGGGUUCUAGAAAUCGAUGCCGUGGUUGGCGAUCGGAGCAAUCUGAUCGACCAAGCACAACAAUGAUUAUCUAGCUGAGAGAUCCGGACGGCGCCGAGCCGUGCCGGAUCACGAGUACGGCCGGGUGUUUUGUACCGGUCGGAA